UGGAAAUUCUGGGUCCUUGGAGGUUAGCUUAAGCUAAAGAGAGAAACUUGGGUAGAAUAGACAUUUCUGAUGCUGUGUCCUGAGCUUCCAGCUCUGAUGGCACAUUCUGUCAACUCGGCUCUGUUUUGUGUGGAACUGGACACUCAGUGAUGGCUAAAAACAGAAGUUGACUAAACUAAUGAAGAUACUACAUGUAGACACUGACGGAAGCAAAAUGCUAGGUCAAGACAGGCCCUUUGGAAAUCAUCUUGAACAUUCUUUCUUUUUUUACAGAAGAACAGUAAAACAGACUUGUUAUUGGCAGCCCAUUAGUGCUCAGGAGAGGCGGUCUCCAGCAUGACAUCAGCCGGCGGCUCGACCCAAAUCUAGUAUUUCACCAGAGAGCCUUAUGCUGCCGGCUUUCCAACUGUGUGGAAACAAAAUAAGGAACAGCUAUUACAUAUCUGGACUCGGUCUGAGCAAACCACUUCAAGCCACGGUAAAGGAGGCGUCCUUCCAGCCUUGAGCCUGGAGAAGGUUCAUGAAUGGAAACCUGGAUAGGCGGCUUGCGGUCUUGGCUGGCUCCACUUCUGCCCACAGCCCAGGAAGGGGGCCCUGUGUCUCCCGGCUGGCCUGCACAG